rnacentral:lncRNA from 1 species
AAUAUAUAUAUAUAUAUAUAUAUAUAUAGAAUUAGGCUGGAAUACUAUUAAUAGUAAAACGCUCUUUUUGCUAUCAAGUUUUUAAUCCUUGGAUGAAAAAUUAUAGGGUCGGGAUGAUAUUAGUCGGUUAGAGUUGAGUGGUUCCCCUAGGAUUGAGUGGUCCCCACUGGGUUAUAGUAUUUAAUCCAAUGAUUAGAAAUAAUGAAAAGAGUUGAUCCAAAGGCUAAAAAACUGGUAGCAAUAAUGAGAUUUUGCUACUAAUAGUAGCCCAGUCCAACUCUAUAUUAUAUAUAUAUAUAUAAUGAGAUUAGUCUUUGGAUCAACUCUUUUCAUUAUUUCUAACCAUUGGAUUACAUACUAUAACCUAGUGGAGACCACUCAAUCCUAGGGGGACCACUCAACUCUAACCGACUAAUAUCAUCCUGACCCUACAAUUUUUCAUCAAAGGGUUAAAAACUUGAUAGCAAAAAGAGCGUUUUACUAUUAAUAGUAUUCCAGCCUAAUUCUAUAUAUAUAUAUAUAUAUAUAUAUAUUA